rnacentral:rRNA from 1 species
CCUACGGGUGGCAGCAGUGGGGAAUAUUGCACAAUGGGGGGAACCCUGAUGCAGCGACGCCGCGUGAGUGAAGAAGUAUUUCGGUAUGUAAAGCUCUAUCAGCAGGGAAGAAAAUGGCGGUACCAGACUAAGAAGCCACGGCUAACUACGUGCCAGCAGCCGCGGUAAUACGUAGGGGGCAAGCGUUAUCCGGAUUUACUGGGUGUAAAGGGAGCGCAGACGGCUGUGCAAGUCUGGAGUGAAAGGCGGGGGCCCAACCCCCGGACUGCUCUGGAAACUGUAAAGCUGGAGUGCAGGAGAGGUAAGCGGAAUUCCUAGUGUAGCGGUGAAAUGCGGAGAUAUUAGGAGGAACACCAGUGGCGAAGGCGGCUCACUGGACUGCAACUGACGUUGAGGCUCGAAAGCGUGGGGAGCAAACAGGAUUAGAUACCCGAGUAGUC